CGCGCCCUCAGGUGGGGUUUAGGUGAGAGGCUCCGACCAGAUUCCAGGUUCGGCCCGGAGCCUCCAGAGGGGACCUCAGCCCCCAUGGCAACCACAGCCUAGCCUGAUGGCCGGGAUCCUGCCCCGUCUCAGUGACCAGGCCAUGGACGCUGUGUUCCUGACAGCCCGGUGGAAGGUGAGCUGGUUUCCUCCUCCACUUCCUUGGGAGUCGCUGUCCUUUGAGGAUGUGGCUCUGUACUUCACCAGAGAGGAGUGGAGCAGACUUGACUGGGCUCAGAAGGAUCUCUACAGAGACGUCAUGCUGGAGAAUUACAGAAACAUGAUCGUCCUGGGAUUUCAGUUUCCCAAACCUGAGGUCAUCUGUCAGCUGGAGCAGUGGGAAGAGCCAUGGAUCCUGGAUCUACCAAGAGCUGGGACUAGGAAGGCUUCCAGUAGUGCCUGCCCAGGUUCCGAAACCAGAUUCAAGAUGAGAGAGCUAACUCCAAAGCAGAACAUUUCUGAAGACUUAGAGUCACAUAAGAUAUCAGUGGUAAAGCAGAAAAAGGCCAAGAAGCCUUCAGAAGAGUUGCAUGAAUGUAACACAUUUGUGGACAUUUAUGGACUUUCGCUCUCUCCUCUUGGUGACGAAUGCUAUAAAAACUACUUCCAGAACUUUCACCUUAUUCAAGAUCAGAAAGCUCAGACAAGGACGAAGCAGGGCAAAUAUGAGGGGUAUGAAAAACUUCUCAGCCAGAGACCACUGCUUUUGAGGCAUAAGCGAAUUCUUACAAAUGCAAAAUCCUAUGAAUGCAGCGAAUGUGGAAAGAUCUUCCGGCGUCAGGCAAAUUUCCUUCGACAUCAGAGAAUUCACAGUUCUGAGGCUCCCUUUGAGUGCGACAUAUGUGGGCAGGCCUUCAGACAGAAGUCCGCCCUGAUGGCCCACAAACAGUGUCACUCACAGAAAAAGCCAUAUAAAUGUCACGACUGUGGGAAAUGUUUCCGUCAGAUGGCGUAUCUUGUCGAGCAUAAGAGGAUCCACACCAAAGAAAAACCCUAUAAAUGCAGUGAGUGUGAAAGAACGUUCAGUCAGAAUUCCACCCUUAUUCGACAUCAGUUAAUUCACAGUGGAGAGAAACCGCAUAAAUGCCAUGAAUGUGGAAAAGCCUUUGGCCGGCAUUCAACCCUUCUGAGCCAUCAGCAAAUUCACACCAAACAGCACACCCAUAAAUGCAGUGAAUGCGGACAGUCCUUUGGUCGGGCUGUAGAUCUCAUUCAGCAUCAAAGAAUCCACACCAAGGAGGAGUUCUUUGAAUGCAGAGAAUGUGGGAAAACUUUCAGUUUUAAGGCAAAUCUUCAUCGCCACGAGGUCAUUCACACUGGAGAGAGACCCUACAGAUGUGACAGAUGUGGGAAAGCUUUCAGCUGGCGCACAAGCUUCAUUAAGCAUCAGGGUACUCACCGAGAGCAGCCGUCUACGUGAUGCUAUGGGAAAGGCGACCGUUUAAAGACCAGAACUUAACUCCUAUUGCGAGACCAUGAUUUCUUCUAUAAAAGAAAUAUAACUACAAAAACAUAUAAAAACAACAAAGUUCCACUGGGAAUGAGAAAAAAGCAAGUGGCACCCCAUGAAACAAGGGAACCUUGAGCCUUGCAGGAGGAAGACAGUAGGUGCUGGAUUAUACACGGGGCUCAAUAUGCCAGCACUUCCGUACUGGUCAGCAGGGCCCGGCUGGAAGGAGGGGCUGCCAAGUUGUAGUUCCCUCAGCAAAGUUAACAAGUGGAGACCUCUGACUAAGGAGGAAAUAGUAAGCCAGUGAGAGAGAAUUCUUGCUUACAGCAAACUUGGGAGCUGGGGACCCCUGAAAAGCAGAUCUGGGCAUGAGUACCCAGAAGUCUGGCUCAGGCUUUUAAAUCUACUCUGUGUAGAAAACGUACCUGUUUCCAG